AAGUUAAAUAAAAGAAAGGUCCACAUUAAACAGGAAAUGCCCCCACCCCAAUUUCUAGAUGAGUCUCCUAUGCAGAUCAAUGGCCAUACUUUUUUAUGGGUUCAUUCAAUGUCCACAGCAGUUAGAACUCACCCCUGGAUCCUGCACCCCAUUUCCACUGAUGUGGUUAAAAUUACUUGAAUGAUGGCCACUUAAAAAUAUAAGCCAGGUGCCAGGGCUCAGGGACCCUCUGCCCAUACAGCCCCUGAUGCUGCUCCUUGCCAUACCCAUGCCACUGGUCCAGCCCCGCCCCGCCCCGCCCCACCCCGCCCCCCAGUGCUACCCUGAAGGAGGAAGGGAAAGAUACUUUAAAUUGCAGGCUGUUGGGGCUCUUUAGGCUAGGUAGGGUAGCCUGACAGUAGCAUAGUCUCAUUGGCAAAUGAAGUGCGUUGUCAGUGUUGCGGGGGUGCCCAGGGGUCAGGGACAGAUGGGCCUGCAGGCUGUGCUAGGGCCACGUGUGCUCAGCGGUACUGUUUCAGGCAGUGUGGUGAACGGAGGGUGCGGUGGUCAGGCCCCCACCAGGACGGCAGCCCAUGCUGGGUCUUCUCACUAGCACCGCACACCACUGCCUGCCUUCCCCCACAGGCCGCGACUGUCUUGCACUACAGCCGCUCUAGUCUCAGGAAUUUGCUUGUUACUUUUACUGUGUAAAUAAAGCUUCCUGGUUCAACACCCA
rnacentral:lncRNA from 1 species